UUAUUGUUAAAACCACUCUCUUGAAAUCAUUUGAUCUGAACUAGCUCAUAUUGAAUUACUAUCCCCGCUUUGUUUCAAGGAAUAA
rnacentral:RNase_MRP_RNA from 1 species